CGUGUAGGCGGUUUCGUAAGUCGGACGUAAAAGCUCCUGGCUUAACUGGGAGAGGCCGUUCGAUACUGCGGGACUUGAGGUCGGGAGAGGGACGUGGAAUUCCCGGUGUAGUGGUGGAAUGCGUAGAUAUCGGGAGGAACACCAGUGGCGAAGGCGGCGUCCUGGCCCGCACCUGACGCUAAGACGCGAAAGCGUGGGUAGCGAACG
rnacentral:rRNA from 1 species